GUCCACGCCGUAAACGAUGAGUGCUAGGUGUUGGGGAGACUCAGUGCCGCAGCUAACGCAAUAAGCACUCCGCCUGGGGAGUACGACCGCAAGGUUGAAACUCAAAGGAAUUGACGGGGACCCGCACAAGCAGCGGAGCAUGUGGUUUAAUUCGAAGCAACGCGAAGAACCUUACCAGGUCUUGACAUCCUCUGACAAUCUGAGAGAUCAGACUUUCCCUUCGGGGACAGAGAGACAGGUGGUGCAUGGUUGUCGU
rnacentral:rRNA from 1 species